GUCUAUUAGUUUAUUUUUUUGAAUUUUUUAUUUACGAUAAAUAGGUUUUUUGGACUU
rnacentral:tRNA from 1 species